rnacentral:lncRNA from 1 species
CCGGCGGGAGCUGCUCUCGGCUCGGCGGUCGCGGCGCCCGCAGUCUGGAGGCGCACCGGAGUGUCCGGGGCGCCCCCCGCGGGAGCCCGCGGCUACCCGGGGCGCGCAUCCAGCCGCGGCGCCUUGGGCCGGGCACGCUGCGCCCCCGGGAUCUGCGGACCCUGCGCCGCCGCCGCCGCCGCCACCGCUUCGGAGCUUGUGCUGCGCGGGCUGGCCGGCCGAGCGGCCAGGGCCCGGACCGCCUCCCUGCGCCCGCCGCGGCUUCUCCCCCUGGCGGUGGGAGCCUCGGCGGCCGCCGGCUAUACUAGGCGCACUGGAGCCCGAGCCGAGCCGAGCCCGAGCCGCGCCGCCACCACCACCGCCGCCGCCUCUCCCGGGCGCCCUCCCAGCGCGCGGGCCGGGAUUGGGGGGGGUGCGCCGGGCCGGAGCAGCGAGGGCGGGCGAGGGGGCGCGCACUGGGGUUGGCGCUGAAGACCGGACUCCCAGCCGCGAGGGGUAAGUGUGGGCGCUUGCGAGUGCGCUUGGGGGUGCGCGGCGCAGUUCUCGACGCCCGCCAACCCUGCCCCCUCACCUCUCAUGGGCCCCCACCACGGCACCCCCUCCUCUUGCCGCCUGCGGCUUCCUCUUGUUGUUCCUUGUUUGGCUUGGCUUUUGGGGGGUGGGGGGGAGAGGAGGGGAGGGUGUAGUGUGUGUGCCAGCGGAGUAGGAAGUCAGGUAAGAGGCUUCGAAGCACCCCCCAACCUAACCUGCGUGGGGUGUAUUGCUCCCCACUAGGGGCAUGUGGUCCAAUUUAUUUUUCUUGUCAAUAUUCGGUUGAGAUAAUCAGUACUAGAGGGCCUCCUUCCCUUCAGCCUCCUUCUUGGCAUUCUCAUCCCUCUCAUCGCCUCCCCCCAUCCAGGAGCCCUGCACCCCAACUGAGGAGCACGUGGCAGAAGGAGAAUGAGGGGGCCCUCUCUUGCAGACCCCCACGCUGUAUGUACCUCAGUGCAUUUGUUUCAGCAUUUAUCCUCAUGGUAGCAGCUGUACUUUUCAACCCACUGGAAGGAGAUGCCUAAGCUGAUGAACAGUUUCUCCCAAGAAGCUGGGGGCAAAGAAUGGAAGGAAUGCAGAUUUCAUUAACUAGUGACUCUGGAGAUGCGGGCUAGGGGAACCUUCCCAAAUGGGAAAACUCCAAAGAUUUCUGAAAGACCAGGAUAACUGGAGGCUCAGAAACCCAGGUUAAGAAACUGGAACUGGAUCAACCUUAACCCUCUCCCCACUGCCAACCCUGUCCCCUAGCUCUAAGGAAGCUAACAGGUCUUUUGUAUUGUGUCGCCUUUGGAGAAUUUGCAUAGAGUAUGACAACAGCAAAUUACUACUGUUUACUCAAAGUUAAGGGGAUUGCAGAAAGAGAAAACAUGGUUUUUUACUUUUUCUCUUUGUAUGCGUGUGUUUGGCAAGGAGUGGAGUUGUUAGGUUCAUGGCAUGAACUGCAAAACGUCAGUUUAUAACAAUAAAGACUGCAAAGCCGCCUAGGUAUAUUUUUAGAAGCUGUACUUUCUUGAGUUCCUUUCACACAAGGCUUGCUCUCAUUAAGUCCCCAUAAAUAAUUGUAUUUAGAAGGAAACUAUAGAAGCAGGAAAGAGAUUGCUAAGAUUUCCAUCCUGCCAGUGCAGAGCACUGUUUGCUGGGAAGUUCCUGGAAAGUGACUGUGGGCUGAGAAUUCAGUUUUUCCUAAAAGCUCUGUUAGGUCCUCUUCUGUCAGAUGCCUAUGAAUAAAACACGCUGGGAAAAUCCUGAUAUCUGUGCAGUCUUAUUUUAUCUUUUACACAGUGGUUGAUUUGCGUUUCAAGCUCUGGUAACAAACACAUCAACUGUGCUGUAUUUUUGUGUGGCUUUUCUAAAUAAAGGAGAAUAGCAUGUGCAUUCAUGCUGCUUUCUGAUAUGCACCCCCACCUUCUAUCCAGGGAUAUUGAACUUACUGGAAUUUACCCAUCUUUUUCUAUUGAUCAUCAUUUUCUGCAGAGACAAUUCCAAAGACACAAUACAAAAAAAUAUGCAUUAGUGUUCUUUUGGGGAACUAGC